GGUUAGGACGUUUGGCUUGUGAUAUUUCGGUGGCGGACACCCAACGUCUUAACCUUCACUUAAACUUAGUUCUGCAGAUCCAGCACCGGGACAGGUUAGCCUUUUCUUCUCCAAGCUCACCCGCCCUCGCCCCUAUAAACUACCAAUGGACGUCCUCUGUGUUGGUCACUGGGAAGCUCUGAAGGCUCGAAGGUGAUCAUUGAAAUAGCAUCCAGGAUUGCAACACGUGGAGUGCACAGCCUCUCUCUUCUGACGACAUGCCCAGCUGUAUCACAGAGGAGAGUGUUAAGUCAGAACAGCGAUCUCCAGGCUGACAGAGGGGAACGACUACCAAAAUGACCUUCCAAAGGACGGCCACCUCUGUAAUGCUGUGAUACAGUGGUAACAUAGGAAAAUAAAGUCUAGCCAUUAGGAAUGAACUCUGUGAGGAGAAAGGAAGCUUUAUUUAGGAAUUGUGUGAGAGAAAAGAGAGGUACAAGGAAAAAUACAUUUCGAAGAUCUAACGACCACCACUUAUCUUAUCUCAAGACGGUAUUCAACUUUGUCAAAAUCCUAACAUUAAAGGAAAAAGAAUCAUUUUGUAGAAAUCUUCAUUCCUGUAUAUAAUCUGUAUGAAUGAGAUACAUUAGUGGGACACUGAUAGCUAACAUUGGAAGCAAUGUUGCAAUGGCUUGGAUACAGGUCUUCACUACACACUUGAAAGCCGGUUUGGUAGCUAGAAUACUGCCCUCAGAGCACCCAUGUAGUUUGUUUAAUUGCACCCAUAGAAGUUCUGUAGGAUGAGGCAGCUUGUCUUACAGAAUGCUCACCCACCCUCCUCAUACCCUUUCCCACGGCUGCCAACCAUCAUCUAGUGUUUCAUAAGAGUUGGAAAAUAAGGAAGACCAUUGGGAAGAUAUGAACCUUUGCUGUCGCCCAUCUAAUAGCUGCUGGCCACCUCUGGAUGGUUGAGGGAGGCCAAAGCCUAUUUGCUAAGGUGCUGAUUGAGACUCUGGAACACCAGUUCCUUCCCUUAAUAUAAAACCAACUUGGAGCCAAGUCAUUUAAGACCUUUUGAAAACUGACUCUAAAAUAGCGUGUGAUAUCUUGAGGAAGAAAAUAAACCAUGAUUUAGUAAAUGAGAUGAUGCACGGGGAAAGGGCAGCCUUAUAUGGUGUUCUUACAGAGAGAGAGAGGGCAUGGUUGGUAAAGCGAGGCCAGAAAAAAAAAAAACCCUUGGCACAUCCGCAGUCCCAGCUGGAAAUGGACAUCUCCGUGUCUGCAGCCCAGUGAGUGCCACCACCAGGUCUGACGAAUGGGUGGAGGCCUCCUCACUGAACUUGCGAAAUGGACGGCCUACUAAGCAACGAUGCUCUUGGGGGAAUGACAGUGUCAUUUCUUUCUUCUUUAUAAAAUACUUACU
ensembl:processed_transcript uncharacterized LOC110312105